GUUUUCUACGAGGACGAAAUCAGCUGUUUCCAAAAGUCGCGUUUCUUCCCAAACAUCAAUUUCCUGUCCAUUGAAGGAGGCUUUUUUCCAUCCUAAAGUCCAAUGUCUGUGGCAAGUGAAGUGCAGUCGCCUGUCGACAAAGAAAAUGGUUCUUUGCCGCACAGUGAAGAAAAACUUUGUGAUCUGCCUUCAUCCGCGACCCCAGAAGAGAGAAUCCAGUAUAAAUUGGAGAAGGCAGUGGGCUUCAAGCAAAAGGGAAAUGACCACUUCAAGCAGCAGCAGUUGAAGAAGGCCAUAAGGAAUUAUCAUAGUGGACUCAUGUAUAUGAAAGCAGUGGAUCAGGACAUGAAUCCAAACAAACAUUUUGGUCAAAGUCGCGCUGCCCCAAAACUCCCCCAAGAGACAAAAGACGCAGUGAUGAUGUUAACGGCCGAUUUGCACAACAAUUUGGCAGCAUGCUUAUUAAAGCAAGAACCGGUAAGGUACGAGAGAGUGGUUGAGUGUUGCAAGCAGGUGACAGAGUUCCAGCCAAGAAUGUGAAGGGUUGGUAUCGCCUUGGGCUCGCUCAGUUCCACCUCCGCGACUACGAUGCGGCGAAAGAAGCCCUAAAAGAAGCUAAUGCAAUAUCUGAAGGCAAAGACACAGCAGUACGGAAAUUGAUGCUCCAAGUAGACCAGGAACUAAGGAAAGAGAACAAGAAAUUCAGUGACAUGUUUAAGAACAGUCUUUUGGUGAAGCAGUCUUGACAAUAAUGUUUUUAAAGGUCCAAUAACCAUGUAUUAUUCCCUUGCAUCUCAUAAGGUCUUGAAUGUCAUGCCUAUAGAAAUAAGUUGUUUUUUUCCUUCCAAACUUUAAGAAGUGUUGUUUUUGUUGUGUUUCAUUGGUGAUGUCUGUGGAUGGGUACAAGAAUUAUUUUUCCUGUGAAAGAAAUUAUGUGAUGUUAGUUAGUGAAGAGAAGUGGAUUGUGUUAUCUUGCAAAAUAUGACUUAUGUUUUACUGAUGCAGUACAAACAAUAGGCCCACUAAGAAUUAUGGAUGAUGAUUCUUCAGAUAUCAGAACAGUAUAUGGUACUCAGGAACUAUAGUGUAACUGCAUAUCUAAUCAAAAUCUGUUAUUUUUAUUUUUUAUAAUUGUUUAAUUCACUACUGUUGGCUAGGGUGAUGAGAUCGCAGCAUUAUUUUUAUUUUUAGCUAAGCAUUAUUAGUUUAUUAAUAUUUUAUUUUUUUAUGAUUGUAAUACUGGUAUGCAUUGAUUGACAACAGUGUAGUUCAAUAUGUAACAGUUAACAUAUAUGAAUAUCGUACUUGACAUUUGUUUAUUCACUUAUUUGUUUUAUGUAUUCAUUUAUUAACAUUUCAGUAUUUUGCUUAAUACUGUGAUUCAAAGUCAUUAUAGAAGUGUACCCAAUAUUUUCCAUUGACUCGGCUUAAUAACUGUGACUGAUCUGGAGAAACAAAUUUGUGAUA